AACUGCCAGGGAACCCAGAUGAGAGCAGCUGCAGGAUUAACUACUCCUGUCCUACCCAGAGGACAAGGAACGGCGGCGCGGGGAGGAGACAGACCAUUAGGGCUGCGUUUCCAAGGAGAUUUUCACACACUCUGAUGGGGAG